GACGAACGCUGGCGGCGUGCUUAACACAUGCAAGUCGAACGGAAAGGCCCUGCUUUUGUGGGGUUCUCGAGUGGCGAACGGGUGCGUAACACGUGUGUAACCUGCCCUUGUCUUUGGGAUAACUUCAGGAAACUGGGGCUAAUACCGUACCGGAGCUCCUGCUGCAUGGAGGGGGUUGGAAAUUUUCGGCGGGUGGGGUUGGACGCGCGGCUUUCGGGUUUGUUGGUGGGGGAGUGGCUUACCCACGCUGUGGCCGGUAGGCGGCCUGGGAGGGUGACCGGGGACCUUGGGACUGAGGUAGGGCCCAGACGCCUACGUGAGGCAGCAGUCGGGAGUAUUGCACAGUGGGCGGGAGCCUGAGACGGAGGCGCUGCGUGCGGGAUGACGGCCUUCUGGUUAUAAACCGCUUUCGCCUAUGACGAAGCGUUAGUGACGGUAAUGAAUAAAGAAGCACCGGCUAACUACGUG
rnacentral:rRNA from 1 species